rnacentral:rRNA from 1 species
UACGUAGGGGGCUAGCGUUGUCCGGAAUCAUUGGGCGUAAAGCGCGUGUAGGCGGUCCGGUAAGUCCGCUGUGAAAGUCGGGGGCUCAACCCUCGGAUGCCGGUGGAUACUGUCGGGCUUGAGUACGGAAGAGGCGAGUGGAAUUCCUGGUGUAGCGGUGAAAUGCGCAGAUAUCAGGAAGAACACCAACGGCGAAGGCAGCUCGCUGGGACGGUACUGACGCUGGAGGUGCGAAAGCGUGGGGAGCAAACAGG